CCUGCUAUGAUGAUAAAACAGACAGGGAUAUCAGCACCCUUUACAGGGGAUGAUGAUUUGUCGAUGGGAAUCUCUCUGAUGCUAA
rfam:Nicotiana attenuata strain TT chromosome 5, whole genome shotgun sequence.